rnacentral:rRNA from 1 species
UNUUUGAUUCCGGAGGGGAGCCUGAGAAACGGCUUCCACAUCCAAGGAAGGCAGCAGGCGCGCAAAUUACCCAAUCCCUGAAGGGGGAGGUAGUGACGAAAAAUAACGAUGCGGGGCUCCAAAGAGUCUCCGUGAUUGGAAUGAGCACAGCUUAAAUCCUUUAACGAGGACCUACUGGAGAGCAAGUCCGGUGCCAGCAGUCGCGGUAACUCCGGCUCCAGUAGCGUAUAUUAAAGUUGUUGCGUUUAAAAAGCUCGUAGUUGAAACUAUACGUGCAAGUAGCGCCCCUCGCUUCACCAGCGAGCGUCGGCGUCAACGUUGCGUUUCUCGGUGGCUUGCCCUCGUCCCCUUGACUGGGCGGCUUGGGACGGCCAUCAAAAGUUACUUUGAUGAAAUCAGAGUGCUCAAAGCAGGCCUCGCGCCGCGCAUGGUAAUCACGGAAUAAUGGAACAUGGUGCUGUUCCUUUGCGGUUUGUGGAAACGGCAAGAUGAUUAAUAGGAAGCCCCGGGGGCGAAAGUACUGCAGGGAUAGAGGUGAAAUUCUUGGACCCUUGCAAGACUGCCGAAAGCGAAAGCAUUCGCCAAGAGUGUUUUCAUUGAUCAAGAACGAAAGUUAGAUGCGCGAAGGCGAUCAGAUACCGCCCUAGUUCUAACCAUAAACGGUGUAUACUCGCAAUCAGCUCCGGUUCUCCAAAUGACUGGGCUGGCGGCCCCGGGAAACCCAAGUGGUAUUCCGGGGGAAGUAUGGUUGCAAAACUGAAACUUAAAGGAAUUGAGGGNAGGGCACCACAANUCGUGGAGCGUGCGGUUCAAUUUGACUCAACGCGGGAGAGCCCACCCGGCCCGGACACAGGGAGGAUUGNCAGAUUGAGAGCUCUUUCUUGAUUCUGUGCAUAGUGGUGCAUGGCCGUCCUUAGUUCGUGGAGUGAUUUGUCUGUUUGAUUACGACAACGAACGAGACUCUGGCCUGCUAAAUAGAAGCGAGUAUCCCUGCUGCUCGCUCCUCUUCUUAGAGGGACAAGGUGCUUCCAGCACCCCGAAGUAGAGCUAUGACAGGUCAGGUAUGCCCUUCGAUGUCCGGGGCUACACGCGCGCUACACUGAUGGGUGAAGCGUGCCUCUUACCUAGCUCUAAGGAGCCGGGUAACCCCUUCAACUUCCUUCAUGAUAGGGAUAGGGAUUUGCAAUUCUUACCCUUGAACGAGGAAUGUCUAGUAAGCGCCAGUCAUGAUCUGGCGCUGAUUAGGUCCCUGCCCUUUGUGCACACCGCCCGUCGCUGUUACCGAUUGAGUGGCCUAGUGAGGUCAUCGGACUGCGACGCCGUACCCAGCUCCUCUCCCGUAGAGGGCGGGAACGGUCGACGCGGAAAGAGGACCAAACUCGACUACUUAAAGGAAACAAAAGUCGUAACAAGGUUUCCGUAGGUGAACCUGCGGA